rnacentral:tRNA from 1 species
GCCCAGGUGGCCUAGUCGGUUAGGGCGCCAGACUCAUAGGGUAAAUUUGAAGAGGCGCUUGAGUCUCCUGAGAAAUCUGGAGGUCACGGGUUCGGAUCCCGUCCUGGGCA